CCAAUAGCGUAUAUUAAAGUUGUUGCAGUUAAAAAGCUCGUAGUUGAAUUUCGGGAUUAGUAAGUUGGUCGUGCCUCUGGUAUGUACUGGCUUUACUGAUUCCUCCUUCUUGAAGAACUGUAAUGUCAUUAAUUUGGUGUUGCAGGGAAACAGGACUGUUACUUUGAAAAAAUUAGAGUGUUUAAAGCAGGCUAACGCUUGAAUACAUUAGCAUGGAAUAAUGAAAUAGGACGUUUGAUCCUAUUUUGUUGGUUUCUAGGAUUGACGUAAUGAUUAAUAGGGAUAGUUGGGGGCAUUAGUAUUCAAUUGUCAGAGGUGAAAUUCUUGGAUUUAUUGAAGACUAACUACUGCGAAAGCAUUUGCCAAGGAUGUUUUCAUUAAUCAAGAACGAAAGUUAGGGGAUCGAAGACGAUCAGAUACCGUCGUAGUCUUAACCAUAAACUAUGCCGACUAGGGAUCGGAUGAUGUUAAUUUUUUAAUGACUCAUUCGGCGCCUUACG
rnacentral:rRNA from 1 species